rnacentral:lncRNA from 1 species
CCCGGGACACCCGGGUUAAUUCUCAGCCUAUCCUGUCACUCACUCUGUGACCUCCAGCAGGCAGGCAGACAGCCAGCUAUGCAGAGGGGGAGUGGCUGUCAUGGGGGCCGGUAUGGCAUGGAGCCCGUUGCUCCAGCAGAUCUCAAGUAAGUCGUAGCUCCGUGGAUUGUGAGUGGGGGCACUGCCACCUGACCUGGUUAGCCCGGUCACACAGGGCCAUUAGUGUCUCCGGUGUGAGCACAGUACAGGAGGUGGGGGGGGGCCAGGAUCAAUGCAUAUAAAGCCCUGGGCUCAGACCCCACCUGGCUAAGUGGAUCCCCCCACUCUGUGCUUCCAAGUCUGGUCUGCCAGGGAGCGGGAGUCGGCAAACCCUCCUGCCUGUCACUCUGCCACUCGCCGUGUUUUCAGGCCUUGGAUUAGAUUAAAAUGAACAUGGACCGCACAGGUAUGUUUUAUGGGUUCUCUGGCCCACCAUGCACCUCCCCUCAUGCCAUUCACACAGUAGUCCUGCCAUGCUAGUCUCAUAGGGGCAAAAGACGCCAAGAGAUGGAGGGUGACCAGUUCAAAGUCACAGG